ensembl:lincRNA
CGACUAUCUUCAGUCACUGCUACCUUAGGCAAGCCUAGCGCAGCCUCCCCAUCCAGUGCCUACAGCAGGGAAGAGGAAUCUGAGCAGCAGCGUGAAAGGGUGCACGGCGAGACUGCUGUUUCAUACAGACAUGGACGUGACCAUGUGGGAGGCACGCUACCCCGCAGAGAACACCAAUACAGGAGUUCUCUGCUGUUCCUACAUGGUAUUCAUGAGGACCAAUGUAUAAAUCAAAUUUCUACAAGCCCUAUUUCCCCCAUGGUUUCCAUGAUUACUUGGCAGGGGGCGCUUAUCUUCUCUAUGAGUCAAUUUACCUUGACAUAGCUUCUUAACCCUGUUUCUGUUCCAUGCCUGCAAAAAAGGUACCACUGAACUGCAUGACAAUGACCUCCAGAAUUCAAAAUUCUGAUUCUCACUGGUGAAUCCAGCAAUGCAUUCAGUCACAGAGCAAAACUGCUGUCAGCCUGUAUGCUCUGUGACAGCAGGGACAGGGUCUGUCUUGUGCCACCUUCCCCAGCAGCAACUACACAGUAUCUGGCACCCAGAGAAAGAAGGGAAAACGCCGCUGUGCUAGUCUAGGCACGCUGCAAUAAGAAAGACCAAGUCCCUGCUCAAAAGAACUUGAGUGACACAGAAACAAUUAUCAAGAGAAGUGACAUGUGUUCUAAAAGAACUAUGCCAAUGCUAAGGAACACGGAGGAAGGAUGGGAUGAAAGGCAUUCCAACAGCAAGACAACAUACUUUGCAGAAGGCAGGGAGGGUGUGUGAUCUUGGAAAAGCAGACACUUUGUGGUUUUCUGCCUUCUUCACUCAAGAACACAAACAACCACGUCUGCCCCUGGAUGCUCACUGCCAAGAGAGCACUGUACCUGGCAUACGCGGAUGGCUCAGGGAGGAAGAGAAAUGGACACCUCGCAGCAGGAGGGGGCCUAGAGCUUCUCAAAGAGAGGGUCAGAGGAAACCAAUAAAGAGGGCUGAGAGAGAGGCCCUGUGUUGUAGGUAAGAAAUGGGUCCCAGAGGGAAAUGAGUAGAGGUAGUUAACUGAAAGCCUCCCAUUAACAUUUCCAGAAAUCCAAUUAGUGACAAACUUCAUUACUUAAGCUAUCGAAAGUAUCAACAUUAUAAUGGAAGAUACAAACCAACUGAAUUCAUUUAAUCUUAAGGUAUUCAAGAUGACUAUUUUAUUGUUUUAAGGAAAUUAAAACGACAGAAAAUUUCAAUAUAGAAGUUAGUAAUACACGCAAAAGGGAUGAAAGCCUCAAAUGAAAUUUAUUAGCAGAUUCCAGGUCCCAUCUACACCACAUACAUUUCCUAAAUACCCCAAGCACCACAAACAAAAACGGUAUUAUGAAUGUAGCUCACAUGGAAGCUGAACGUUGAAGGUUUUUUUUUUUUUUCCCACAUAUAAAACUGACCCAUAUAUGUAAAGCCUUGACAUAUCUUAGCUGCAGAAUCUCUAGUAAAUCACCUAAUCUCUAUGUCAGAUGGAGAUGUCACUUGCCCUACCCCUAACCUGAGAGGGUUAUUUUAUGGAAUAAAUGGGAGAAUGUAUGUGAAAAAACCUUUACACUGGAAAUCUAAAAUAUAAUGGUUUGGCAUCAGUAUCUCAAGUGAGGCAAGGCAUUCUCAAGAUUGAGAACAGUCAGUAUAUACGUGCUGACAUGAGAAAACACGCAAGAUAUAUGAAGUGAGAAAUGCACCUGCAUAGCAGUAUGUAGAGUAUGAUCUCAUUUCAUGGUGUAUUUUUCUAAGCCUCUGCUCAUACAUGGAAGGCUACAUACCAAACUGUUAAGAUCGAUGCGUUCUGGGGUGGUGAGGUAUGCAUUACUUUUAGAAUAAAACCUGCAAAUACACACACACACACACACACACACACACACACUAACUGACAAAGAUUAUCUCCUUGACCAAAUUUUACUCAGGUUACUCUGAGGACUCUUUUCAACUAGCCCUUGACUUUGGUCCCCAUCCAGUCUUUGGAUGGCUCAGCCAAGUUUUAGCAAGAAUCCUGUUAAGUAAGUUUAACAAGAACUCCCCCCACCCUGCCCCAUCUGAUAAAGUUCCUCAUCCCCCACCUCUGCUGUCUAAGUCCUUGGCCUGCCUUUAGCAAGAAUCCUGUUAGGUCAGUUUAGCAAGGAUCCCCCUACCCUGCUGUCUCCUCUUAGUAAUUUUCAUUCCCUGACCUUUUACCCUGCUCCUUGGCUAUAAAUCCCUACUUGUCCUUAUUGUAUUCAGAGGGAAACAUCAUCUCUCUCCCUCUGCAGUGGUCUUAAAUAUAGUUGUCCUUACUGUUUUAACAACGGUCAGAAUGAUUUUUACCAACACACACAAACACAGUUUUUUUUUUUUUUUUUAAAGUGAAGCCAGAUCUAUUCCAGAGACACAGGCUUCUAUUUAUGAGAUUCUUAAGAGUUCUUUUAAGAAGGAGUAUGGAGAAAAUUUAUCUCCGGAAUUGGGCUCCUUUUUAAAAAACCUCUUGUGGUCUUUGAUUUUUUUUUUCCAGUCUCUGGAGGAUGAAAAUCAAUUAUUCCCAUUUGCUUCUGAAUGGAGCUCUUCAAUUACAGAGGCUAAGAACAAGCUUGCCCAAAUGAGGGCAGGACCGGUCCCCAGGGGAGGGGACCAAAUGGGUCAGUGAUUUCAAAGGCUAGUGGAUUUUAGAAGACGGUAUAGGAAUUGCCCAUAAGGGUUAUAUACCGCUGGUAUAAGUGAUGGUGAGGUUAGGGCAGGUGAGUGAGUCAACUGGGGGUUACUGAAUCCCAGAUAUUCCACAUCCUAAAACAGUUCACAAAUUUGUCCCUUCCUCCCCAUUUCCAAAGUCGCUGCCUUAUUCCUGAAAUAACCUCCAAAAUGAUCUCGACUGCCUGAGGUCUCCCUUCCAUUGACAAAAACCAAAAAAACGCUUUCUACAAUGUUGGCACUACUAACUCUCUAAAAUAAAUACACAAUCAGGUAUUCUCCCCAAGAGCUUUUGAUAGUUCUCUCUUGCCUCUAGAAGCUUCCUAGCCAACCAUGCAGUAAGGAUCUUCCCACGCUAUCCCCAGUUACCCUUCUGGCUCCAUCCCUCUGCACUCCCGUGCACACCCUGGACGCUCACUAUCUGCCACCUGUCUUUNNNNNNNNNNNNNNNNNNNNNNNNNNNNNNNNNNNNN